AGUCAAUAGAUACCCAGGUAGUCCACGCCGUAAACGAUGAGUACUAGGUGUAGGAGGUAUCGAACUCCUUCUGUGCCGCAGUUAACACAAUAAGUACUCCGCCUGGGAAGUACGGUCGCAAGAUUAAAACUCAAAGGAAUUGACGGGGGCCCGCACAAGCAGCGGAGCAUGUGGUUUAAUUCGAAGCAACGCGAAGAACCUUACCUAGACUUGACAUCUCCUGAAUAGUGUAGAGAUACAUGAAGCCCUUCGGGGCGAGGAAGACAGGUGGUGCAUGGUUGUCGUCAGCUCGUGUCGUGAGAUGUUGGGUUAAGUCCCGCAACGAGCGCAACCCUUAUUACUAGUUGCUACCAUUAAGUU
rnacentral:rRNA from 1 species